rnacentral:rRNA from 1 species
CUGGCGGCGUGCUUAACACAUGCAAGUUCAACGGUAAGGCGCUUUCGGGCGUACACCAGUGGCGAACGGGUGAGUAACACGUGAGGAACGUGCCCUUUGACUUUUGGUAUAGCACUUGGAAACAGGUGGUAAUCCCGAAUAUUCAGUUUCCCGGGCAUCCGGGUUUGUUGGAAAGCUUUUUGCGGUCAGGGAUCGUCUCGCGGCCUAUCAGCUUGUUGGUGGGGUAGUGGCCCACCAAGGCCUUGACGGGUAGCCGGCCUGAGAGGGCGACCGGCCACAUUGGGACUGAGAUACGGCCCAGACUCCUGCGGGAGGCAGCAGUGGGGAAUAUUGCACAAUGGGCGGAAGCCUGACGCAGCAACGCCGCGUGCGGGAUGACGGCCUUCGGGUUGUAAACCGCUUUCACCCAUGACGAAGCGCGAGUGACGGUAGUGGGGGAAGAAGCACCGGCCAACUACGUGCCAGCAGCCGCGGUGAUACGUAGGGUGCGAGCGUUGUCCGGAAUUAUUGGGCGUAAAGAGCUUGUAGGCGGUUGAUCGCGUCGAUAGUGAAAUCCCGGGGCUCAACCUCGGGCUUGCUGUCGAUACGGGUUGACUUGAGGAAGGUAGGGGAGAAUGGAACUCCCGGUGGAGCGGUGGAAUGCGCAGAUAUCGGGAAGAACACCGGUGGCGAAGGCGGUUCUCUGGACCUUUCCUGACGCUGAGAAGCGAAAGCGUGGGGAGCAAACAGGCUUAGAUACCCUGGUAGUCCACGCUGUAAACGGUGGGUACUAGGUGUGGGUCGCAUUCCACGUGAUCCGCGCCGUAGCCAACGCAUUAAGUACCCCGCCUGGGGAGUACGGCCGCAAGGCUAAAACUCAAAGGAAUUGACGGGGCCCCGCACAAGCGGCGGAGCAUGCGGAUUAAUUCGAUGCAACGCGAAGAACCUUACCUGGGUUUGACAUGUACUGGAAGCGCUCAGAGAUGGGCGUGCCUUUUCGGCCGGUUCACAGGUGGUGCAUGGCUGUCGUCAGCUCGUGUCGUGAGAUGUUGGGUUAAGUCCCGCAACGAGCGCAACCCUCGUCCAAUGUUGCCAGCAGUUCGGCUGGGGACUCGUUGGAGACCGCCGGGGUCAACUCGGAGGAAGGUGGGGAUGAGGUCAAGUCAUCAUGCCCCUCAUGUCCAGGGCUUCACGCAUGCUACAAUGGCCGGUACAAAGAGUUGCGAGCCUGUGAGGGUGAGCGAAUCUCGGAAAGCCGGUCUCAGUUCGGAUUGGGGUACUGCAAACUCGACCCCAUGAAGUUCGGAGUCGCUAGUAAUCGCAGAAUCAGCAACGCUGCGGUGAAAUACGUUUCCCGGGGCUUGUACACACCGCCCGUCA